GCGACCCACUCUUGGUUUCCAA
rnacentral:miRNA from 1 species